rnacentral:rRNA from 1 species
AGUACAACUCUACGGGAGGCAGCAGUGGGGAAUAUUGCACAAUGGGCGCGAGCCUGAUGCAGCCAUGCCGCGUGUGUGAAGAAGGCCUUCGGGUUGUAAAGCACUUUCANUCGUGAGGAAGGUAGUGUAGUUAAUAGCUGCAUUAUUUGACGUUAGCGACAGAAGAAGCACGGCUAACUCCGUGCCAGCAGCCGCGGUAAUACGGAGGGUGCGAGCGUUAAUCGGAAUUACUGGGCGUAAAGCGCAUGCAGGUGGUUUGUUAAGUCAGAUGUGAAAGCCCGGGGCUCAACCUCGGAAUUGCAUUUGAAACUGGCAGACUAGAGUACUGUAGAGGGGGUAGAAUUUCAGGUGUAGCGGUGAAAUGCGUAGAGAUCUGAAGGAAUACCGGUGGCGAAGGCGGCCCCCUGGACAGAUACUGACACUCAGAUGCGAAAGCGUGGGGAGCAAACAGGAUUAGAUACCCUGGUAG